rnacentral:rRNA from 1 species
UACGGGGGUGGCGAGCGUUACUCGGAUUUAUUGGGUGUAAAGGGCAGGUAGGCGGCUAUGCAAGUUGAGGGUGAAAUCCUAAGGCUCAACCUUAGAACUGCCUUCAAAACUGCAUGGCUUGAGGCUUGAAGAGGAGAACGGAAUUCCCGGUGUAAGGGUGAAAUCUGUAGAUAUCGGGAAGAACACCUGUGGCGAAAGCGGUUCUCUGGUCAAGCUCUGACGCUGAUCUGCGAAAGCUCGGGGAG